rnacentral:sRNA from 1 species
UAAUAUACUGUAGUGCGCUGUGAGCUUGUACAUCAAUAUUAUUAUGUUGUUUAUCAUAAACUGUCAACAGGCAGUGGGAAUAAUGCUUACAUACAUUAUAUUGAAACCGAAAGAUUUCCCGUUUCCUUAGAUAAAGUAUUUGUAAUUGAUAUUUUGGUUUGGAAAUUUGCUUGUUCUGUAAUUGGCCAUAUUCAUUUUGAGGGAAAAGGUCUCAAAAUAAUUGCCUAUAUGUUUUGUAUUCAUUACACAUUAUUGGUUAUGUAGUAGUGCUGUCAAUGUUUGUGAGCCACUAGUAUACAGAACAAUGUUAUAGUUUUACAGAGUUCUUUUGAAACUACAGAUGUACUAGUACUAGAUUUAUAAGUAGACAUUUAGUGAAAGGUUUUCUACCAGUACUAUAUGUAUUCAAGUGGAAAUUACCAGUUGUAGCUACCAACGUUUGUGCAUGUAAUGCAUUUGCUUUUGUUUUUAUGCAAGCUUAGUUAAAUACGGUAAAGUCUGCUUUAAUUAUAGCCAGGUCAUCUGAAAUCCAUCCACUUCAUGUUUUCACCAAUAUAUAUAUAUAUAUAUAUAAUGAACUUAUGUUUGGUGUAUAUCACACUUUGAUCAUCCUAUCAUGACAAGUAACUGAUUGUUGAGGGUUUAAAUAGACAUCUACAUAAAGGGGUAAAUCUUUGCCUUGGGUCACAAUUUUUUUUGUUUAAAAAAAAGUAACAGUUCAUAAUUUUUAUGUGUAAGAUAGAUUGUAGAACCAUUUCAUAUUUUGGCAGUCUGUUUUUCCUUUGCAUAAUGAUAAGCAUUAUUGACUUCAUUUGUUAUUUGAUGUGCAAUGAAAUCAGCCUGUAUCACGUGUAAUGUGCAAUUGACAUUAUAAGAAGUCAGGUGACUGGUCCCGUUUUAGCACUGCCCUCACUCUGUGGUGUAUCUAUUGAUGUAGUCCUUGUGAAUAAAUUCAUGGUGUAUCAUU